rnacentral:rRNA from 1 species
GACGAACGCUGGCGGCGUGCUUAACACAUGCAAGUCGAACGGAAAGGCCCUGCUUUUGUGGGGUGCUCGAGUGGCGAACGGGUGAGUAACACGUGAGUAACCUGCCCUUGACUUUGGGAUAACUUCAGGAAACUGGGGCUAAUACCGGAUAGGAGCUCCUGCUGCAUGGUGGGGGUUGGAAAGUUUCGGCGGUUGGGGAUGGACUCGCGGCUUAUCAGCUUGUUGGUGGGGUAGUGGCUUACCAAGGCUUUGACGGGUAGCCGGCCUGAGAGGGUGACCGGCCACAUUGGGACUGAGAUACGGACCAGACUCCUACGGGAGGCAGCAGUGGGGAAUAUUGCACAAUGGGCGGAAGCCUGAUGCCACAACGCCGCGUGCGGGAUGACGGCCUUCGGGUUGUAAACCGCUUUCGCCUGUGACGAAGCGUGAGUGACGGUAAUGGGUAAAGAAGCGCCGGCUAACUACGUG